rnacentral:rRNA from 1 species
UGGGGAAUAUUGCACAAUGGGCGCAAGCCUGAUGCAGCCAUGCCGCGUGUAUGAAGAAGGCCUUCGGUUUGUAAAGUACUUUCAGCGGGGAGGAAGGGAGUAAAGUUAAUACCUUUGCUCAUUGACGUUACCCGCAGAAGAAGCACCGGCUAACUCCGUGCCAGCAGCCGCGGUAAUACGGAGGGUGCAAGCGUUAAUCGGAAUUACUGGGCGUAAAGCGCACGCAGGCGGUUUGUUAAGUCAGAUGUGUAAACGCGGGGCUUAACUUCGCGCGUGCAGUGGGUACGGGCAGGCUUGAGUGUGGUAGGGGUGACUGGAAUUCCAGGUGUAGCGGUGGAAUGCGCAGAUAUCUGGAGGAACACCGAUGGCGAAGGCAGGUCAGUGGGCCAUUACUGACGCUGAGGAGCGAAAGCAUGGGUAGCGAACAGG